CGCGUAGGCGGUGCCGCAAGCGGCGUGUGAAAUUCCGGGGCUCAACCCCGGAACUGCGCGCCGGACUGCGGUGCUCGAGUGCGGGAGGGGGGUGCGGAACUCUAGGUGGAGCGGUGAAAUGCGUAGAUAUCUAGAGGAACACCGGUGGCGAAAGCGACACCCUGGCCCGCAACUGACGCUGAGGCGCGAAAGCGUGGGUAGCAAACA
rnacentral:rRNA from 1 species